AUACUUCCCUGGCAGGGGGAUACCAUGGUCAUGAAGGUGUUUUUCCCAGGGUGAGGCCUAUCCAUUGCACUCCAGAUGUGCUGACCCUUGCGAUUUCCCCAAAUGUGGGAAACUCGACUGCACAGUUUGUGGUAGUGGGGGACUGCAUUUCCGCUCUCCCCUG